ensembl:lncRNA
AUAGGACAUCUCAUUUUAUUAAACAGCAAACAGUGAAUAACAGGGAAUACAAUAUCAUCUUAUUUGUGUUUUUCAUUUUCUUCAUCUUCUUAUGGGGUGUAGGGACUGACAGAGGGGGUGUGGGGACUGACAGAGGGGGUGUAGGGACUGACAGAGGGGGUGUAGGGACUGACAGAGGGGGUGGGGUGUAGGGACUGACAGGGGGUGUAGGGACUGACAGAGGGGGUUUAGGGACUGACAGAGGGGGUGUGGGGACUGACAGAGGGGGUGUAGGGACUGACAGAGGGGGUGUAGGGACUGACAGAGGGGGUGUAGGGACUGACAGAGGGGUGUGGGGACUGACAGAGGGGGUGUGGUGUAAGGACUGACAUUAGAGGGACUGACAUUAGAGGGGGUGUGGGGCGUUGUGUAGGGACUGACAUUAGUGGGGGUGUGGGGCGUUGUGUAGGGACUGACAGAGGGGGUGUGGGGACUGACAGAGGGGGUGUGGUGUAGGGACUGACAUUAGAGGGACUGACAUUAUAGGGGGUGUGGGGCGUUGUGUAGGGACUGACAUUAGUGGGGGUGUGGGGCGUUGUGUAGGGACUGACAGAGGGGGUGUGGGGACUGACAGAGGGGGUGUGGUGUAGGGACUGACAUUAGAGGGACUGACAUUAUAGGGGGUGUGGGGCGUUGUGUAGGGACUGACAUUAGUGGGGGUGUGGGGCGUUGUGUAGGGACACCCCCUCUGUCAGUCCAUUGUCAUGUUAUAUUUAGGGAUGAUGCAUUGUAACUGUAUUGCGUAAAUUCAGCACUAUAGCGCAAUUGAAAUUUAAAAAGGCAAUGUUCCCUAAUUCGUGAAAUAAUGCAUUCAUGGUAAACCAUCACAUUUCAAUCCCAGCAUAGCGCUGAACUACCGCGGUACGGAUUGGAUGGAGCCCUCAAAGUCCUUUAAAGCACAACAGCAUUUCCUCUUGGAGGAAUACAGAGAACAGAGAGAGGUCUCACAGCCCCCAGGCCUUACGGGUGUCUCUGUAGAGCUGACUCUGUCUUAGAGAGUUACUACUGGUACACAUGGUGUGAUAGCAGCCCCCAGGCCUUACGGGUGUCUCUGUAGAGCUGACUCUGUCUUAGAGAGUUACUACUGGUACACAUGGUGUGAUAGCAGCCCCCAGGCCUUACGGGUGUCUCUGUAGAGCUGACUCUGUCUUAGAGAGUUACUACUGGUACACAUGGUGUGAUAGCAGCCCCCAGGCCUUACGGGUGUCUCUGUAGAGCUGACUCUGUCUUAGAGAGUUACUACUGGUAAAUACAUGGUGUGAUACCCCGUGUUCAAAAUGAUGCAUUUCUCAUUCCAAGAUGACACUGUUCCAACACCAAGAGCUCAUUGCCUUGUGUUGUCUAGUGUUUCAGUGAGAGGAUAUUAUCUUUUCCCUUCUCUCUCUGUUUCUCACCUCUCUCUCUGUUUCUCUCCUCUCUCUCCCCCACAUUGCCUUGAGUUGUCUAGUGUUUCAGUGAUAGGAUAUUAUCUUUUCCCUUCUCUCUCUGUUUCUUACCUCUCUCUCUGUUUCUCUCCUCUCUCUCCCCCACAUUGCCUUGAGUUGUCUAGUGUUUCAGUGAUAGGAUAUUAUCUUUUCCCUUCUCUCUCUGUUUCUUACCUCUCUCCCCCCCUCUCUCUGUUUCUCUCCUCUCUCUCCCCCACAUUGCCUUGUGUUGUCUAGUGUUUCAGUGAUAGGAUAUUAUCUUUGUAUGACUAGUAUCAUAGUGAGUUUUGAUGUGAUCUUGUGCCUAAUAUUCCUUUGUGCUUUAAAAAAAAGAAGAGUGUAUAUAUAUAUAUAUAUAUAUACUCUAAAAUGUCUUAUUUUGGUGUUCCAAUCAGACAGAAAUAUACACAUUAGUCAUUUAGCAUCUUAUCCAAUCAGACAGAAAUAUACAUGUUAGUCAUUUCGCAGACGCUCUUAUCCAGAGCAGUUAGGGUUAAGUGCUUCGCUCAAAGAAACGUCAACAUAUGUUUUUCCCCUAGUCGGCUCAGGGAUUCGAACCAAUAACCUUUUGGUUACUGGCCCAAACACUCUUAACCACUAGGCUACCUGUUGCCAUACGGAGGUCACACUAACCGACUGAAAACUACAGCAUUACGACACAGUCACUGGCCCAAACACUCUUAACCACUAGGCUACCUGUUGCCAUACGGAGGUCACACUAACCGACUGAAAACUACAGCAUUACGACACAGUCAGACACACACACACCACAUACUCUACUGUACACUCACAAGCAGAUCGAAGUGGUAAGUGCAAAUUCACAACUGAUCAAACGAAACGGAAAUGACAUCAUUAAUUCAACAUGUUUGAAGAUUUAAACCGUAACAAGAAAUCAUGAGAAAAAGGGUAAAACAUUAUAAAAAUUUAAAUCGAGAAAACAAUAACAAUUGUCAACAAUCACAACAGCCAUUUGCAAUCACAAUGAUGACAUCAUUCGAGACGAGUUAAGCGAUUGGAAUGUUUUGAGGAAAAAAACAACAUGAAUAAAAUAACAUUUUGAGAUCAAUAAGCUCCAUCCCAAAUGGCACACUAUUCCAUUUACAGUGCACUACUUUUGACUAGGGCCUAUGGGGACGAGUGCACUAUAUAGGAAAUAGGGUGCCAUUUUGGGAUGCAGACUCUGUCUCUCUGGUCAUGGCAGGGUGGUCCUAGGUCUCCUAUAGGAGGACUUCCCUAGCUACCUCACCUCUACAGAAUAGGACCGAACCAGGUCGGCUCUCACACUGUAAGACAGAGAUAGUUGUUACUACUGACACCUUGGGCACUGACACCUUGGGCACUGACACCUUGGGCACUGACACCUUGGGCACUGACACCUUGGGCACUGACACCUUGGGCACUGCCACCUUGGGUACUGCCACCUUGGGUACUGCCACCUUGGGCACUGCCACCUUGGGCACUGCCACCUUGGGUACUGCCACCUUGGGCACUGCCACCUUGGGUACUGCCACCUUGGGUACUGCCACCUUGGGCACUGACACCUUGGGUACUGCCACCUUGGGUACUGCCACCUUGGGCACUGACACCUUGGGCACUGACACCUUGGGCACUGACACCUUGGGCACUGCCACCUUGGGGGAAAAAACAUUCUAAUAACAACGAAAUUCUAAAAUCAAGUAUUUUUUCCCGACUAGUAUAGUAAUGCAUUUAAGAAUUAGAUUUACUAAAUAGAUUCAAGUAUAAUUUUGUUGGCUACAUUUCUCCACUGCUGUAAGCUAAAAAAAAUAAUUUUAAAAAAUCAAAAAAUAUGUUUGAUUUCACAUUAAUUUAUAAUGAUAAUCACAUUAAUUUAUAAUGAUAAUCACAUUAAUUUAUAAUGAUAAUCACAUUGUUUAUUCUAUUUUCUUCAGAAACGAAUUCCUGGUGGCAUAGUAGUAAACAUGUAUUUGGUCAUAAAUGAUGAGAUCACAGAGUGAAAAACAUUAUCGUUCCCCCUUGUAUACAGUUAAGAGUAUAAAGUUCAACCCUUUCUGCUUCCUGCAUUCAAAUUAUAUUAUUUUUACAUUCAAAUAAACAGGAAUUCCUUCACUGGAAUGUUUCCACAACAAUAGAAUAAUAACAAUAAUAAACAUAAAAUCAACAACAAUAUUGAUUGACAGACAGAAGGGGGACUGGAGAGGUAGAACGUAAAGACAUCCAUAAAUCAAACAAUAAAGACACUGUUCACAUCAUCUGCAUAUGUACAAUAUGGUAAGGUACAGAAAAACAAUACAUACAGAUAUAUAGAUAGAGCUAUAUAACUAUAUAUAUAUAUAGAGAGAGAGAGACAGAUAUAUAGAUAGAGCUAUAUAACUAUAUAUAUAUAUAUAUAGAGAGAGAGAGAGACAGAUAUAUAGAUAGAGCUAUAUAACUAUAUAUAUAUAUAUAUAUAUAUAGAGAGAGAGAGACAGAGAUAGAGCUAUAGAUAUAUAUAUCUAUAGCUAUAGAUGUAUAGAGAUAUAGAUAUAUAGUGCUAUAGAUAUACUGUAGAUAUAUAGAGCUAUAAAUAUAUAGCGCUAUAUAUAGAUAUAUAGAUAUAUAGAGCUAUAGAUAUAUAGAGCUAUAGAUA